CAAGUACUCCCUCCGUCCGGAAUUACUUGUCAUCAAAAUGGAUGUGUCUAAAACUAAAAUACAUCUAGAUACAUCCAUUUCAAUGACAAGUAUUUUCGGACGGAGUGAGUACAAG
rnacentral:pre_miRNA from 1 species